GCCCCGGAGCCGGAAGCAGGAGCGAGGUUCUGGGACCCGGCGGCGACGGCGACUGCUUUUAAUUUCGCCGGCCAGCUGGCCCUGUGUCUGCUCCGGCCGAGUCUGGAAGAAUGGUCCUUGGACUCUUCAACAGAAGUUGCUAGGCCAGAUGAAGAAUUCAGGCAAGGGACUGAAUUACUGGGACUCCAGCUGCAGAAGGAGGGAGUGAAGACAAGUAACAGCCUCUCAACAGUGCAACCAGGGAAGAGGUUUCCCACAUCUGUGGCUGCUGUAUUACAUCUGCCAUGAUGGAGGAAGGAAACAUCCCCUAUUAGAGGAACAAGAUGCUUCCCACAGAAAUCAUGUAAUUAGGAGACUCCUUGGACAUGAAGAG
ensembl:lncRNA